UACGAGGGGGCGAGCGUUGUUCGGAAUUAUUGGGCGUAAAGGGUGCGUAGGCGGUUCCGCAAGUCCUGUGUGAAUCUUCGGCUCAACUCGAAGUCUGCACGGGAACUGCGGGCUUGAGUGUGGGAGAGGUGAGUGGAAUUCCCGGUGUAGCGGUGAAAUGCGUAGAGAUCGGAAGAACACCAGUGCGAAGGCGCCGGCUGGGGCGCCCUGACGCUGAGCGCGAGAGCGU
rnacentral:rRNA from 1 species